rnacentral:rRNA from 1 species
UACGUAGGGGGCGAGCGUUAUCCGGAUUCACUGGGUGUAAAGGGAGCGUAGACGGCCAUGCAAGCCAGGGGUGAAAGCCCGGGGCCCAACCCCGGGACUGCCCUUGGAACUGCAUGGCUGGAGUGCGGGAGGGGCAGGCGGAAUUCCUGGUGUAGCGGUGAAAUGUGUAGAUAUCAGGAGGAACACCGGCGGCGAAGGCGGCCUGCUGGACCGCGACUGACGUUGAGGCUCGAAAGCGUGGGGAGCGAACAGG